rnacentral:rRNA from 1 species
GAUGAACGCUGGCGGCGUGCCUAAUACAUGCAAGUCGAGCGAACAGACGAGGAGCUUGCUCCUCUGACGUUAGCGGCGGACGGGUGAGUAACACGUGGAUAACCUACCUAUAAGACUGGGAUAACUUCGGGAAACCGGAGCUAAUACCGGAUAAUAUAUUGAACCGCAUGGUUCAAUAGUGAAAGACGGUUUUGCUGUCACUUAUAGAUGGAUCCGCGCCGCAUUAGCUAGUUGGUAAGGUAACGGCUUACCAAGGCAACGAUGCGUAGCCGACCUGAGAGGGUGAUCGGCCACACUGGAACUGAGACACGGUCCAGACUCCUACGGGAGGCAGCAGUAGGGAAUCUUCCGCAAUGGGCGAAAGCCUGACGGAGCAACGCCGCGUGAGUGAUGAAGGUCUUCGGAUCGUAAAACUCUGUUAUUAGGGAAGAACAAAUGUGUAAGUAACUAUUCACGUGUUGACGGUACCUAAUCAGAAAGCCACGGCUAACUACGUG